rnacentral:rRNA from 1 species
UGGGGAAUAUUGCACAAUGGGGGAAACCCUGAUGCAGCGACGCCGCGUGAGUGAUGAAGUAUUUCGGUAUGUAAAGCUCUAUCAGCAGGGAAGAAGAAAUGACGGUACCUGACUAAGAAGCCCCGGCUAACUACGUGCCAGCAGCCGCGGUAAUACGUAGGGGGCAAGCGUUAUCCGGAUUUACUGGGUGUAAAGGGAGCGUAGGUGGCAUGGCAAGUCAGAAGUGAAAGCCCGGGGCUCAACCCCGCGGACUGCUUUUGAAACUGCCAGGCUAGAGUGCAGGAGAGGUAAGUGGAAUUCCUAGUGUAGCGGUGAAAUGCGUAGAUAUUAGGAGGAACACCAGUGGCGAAGGCGGCUUACUGGACUGCAACUGACACUGAGGCUCGAAAGCGUGGGGAGCAAACAGGAUUAGAUACCCCCGUAGUCC